ACUAGACUGUCUGUCUUAGGUUCAAGCAUUAGGUCCGGGUGUACUUAAACAAAGGAACUGGAAGGUAGAAAAAUCGUGAUCAAAGAAUGCAAUGCUUAGAUUUCAGAGGUGGUGCAGUUUGGGGCGUUGGUCACGUUCAGGGUGUGAAACAGGAGUGACCGAAUGAAGUGGAGAUGGGAAAAAGUCUCGGAAAUGGGAGGCCAGGAUAUCUCAUGGUUUAUACAAGUGGGUACUGAGGUCACCCAGAAUUGAGAAGGAGAGGAAGGAGUCAAAGUCUGCAGUGGGGGAGGGGAGGCUGCCGAAGAGGUCAGAGGUACCAGCAACCAGGAGAGACCCUGAAUGGGGUCUUGAAAGAAAUGAGUGGGUGCUGGGGGCUCCACCUGCAAGGCGCCAUUCCUCCGCACGCCCAUCUGCAGUGAGGGAGCGGGAGAAGCUCGCCCGUCUUCUCCCUGGGGAGAGGCGAACACUGCUCUCAGCCUUUGGUAAGGGCCUGCUUCCUCCCAUUCCUGGCUACUGACAGACCUGGGGUGACUCGCGGCUAUUAAUAGCGGGAAAGGAAACUGGAAAGAAUGCCCCAGGAAGAGGGCGUGUGGAGGGAGGGCAGGAAGGCAGUGAGCUGGGAGGGAGGGCCAGGCCUGGACACCAGUGUCCACCCCUCCUUCCUUUGUUACCCCCAGCUCAUCACCCCCGACUACUCUAAUCUCCAGGGAAAUAACACCAAAAAGCCGGGAGUAAAAUGGCAAAAACCAGGUGGGAUAAGCUGGUGUCUUCCCGGAUUGGCGGGAUAAAGGAAAGCACACAGACUGGGAAUCCAGAGAUCUGAGCUUUCUGGUGCUGGCUCUGCCUCUGAUCCCCCAAGGCCUCGGCCCCCACGAAGCACAUCUGUUAAAAAGGACAAGAUUUCUCAGGUAGAGGCACUUUCCUAAGCAUGACAUAGUGUUUCGGUGAAGAAUCACACACACUCGGAGAACGGAGAAUGGCACACAUCACAGGCGUUGAUGCAGCUCGGCCCCGGCCCCAGAUCACCCAACAGGACGCCUGAUCCUGGAAGCCCGCCGGUCCCUUCCAGCCGCAAGGUGAUGAUAUCAUGCUGAAGAUGCUGCCAGAAAAGGAGCUGAUGUCCACCCCUCAGCUGAGGAAGCAGCUGGGGAAGCAGGGGCCAGAGAGGCAGUGAGCUGCUGAGCAGUGAGGGCCAAGGUGUGGCCGCGUCCACAGCCCUGCAUGACCAGCGGCUGAGCACAUCCCCUGCUCUCGAAGCCAUGCAGACCUCACUGUCCCCCACAUCCCUGGCUCAUGCCAUCAGAACUAAAGGGACCCAAGACAUCACUUUAUCCCACCCCAACAAGGGAGAAAUAGGCAAAUCGUCAAGAGUUCUGGGCACCGGGUCCCACCUUCUUUGGUUUCUAGAACGUUGUGGUCCAGCUCCUAAAGCAGGCUCUCUGUCCUGCGGGGCACAUAUGCUUCUGGUUCCAGCCCCUGCUUCCCCUCUUGCCCCUGGACAGGGAUGGAGGCUGCUGACCCGUAGUGAGAUGAAGAGGAAGGAGGGCCUAGGCCAGCCAGACCCUGAGAGCUCUCACACUGCCAUGUGCACACACCCCCCCAUCCACCUCCAGCCAUCCCCAGUGACGCAGCAUCAGCACGGCCCAGGCGGGGCCCCCCCCCCAGCUCCCCUCCCCCUCCCCCUCCUGGAUACAUCCACACGCUUGCACCCAGCGCUAUUAUGCUCCCAGUUCUGGGACCAAAAUCAUCAGGAAAGUGAGGCCUUUCGGAUCACUGGGAAAUACUGAACAGGAGGGUCCUCAAGACCUCCUGGCCAGCCCCUCAUCCAUAGAUGAGAAAACUGAGCCCCACAAGGAGGACUCCCAGCCCCGGGUGGAUGGAGCCCCUUUCUCCUGCAAACCCAUUUUCUUAUUGUGCCUGCUCUUUAUUCACCACCCAACACAGGACCCUCCUGGGUCCCUGCUCCAUGCCUGCUGUCAUCCCACCCGCCCCAGACACACACGGAAGUAGCUCCAUACACCAGAGCUUCAUUCACAGGAGGCCCCAGGGGCCGCCGUAGCUGCUGUGCUUACGUGAGUGCCCGAGAGGACCCACGGAAAUCAGAGAUCUGAUAGUGUGCGGUCAGGACCAGACUUCCAGACUCUCCCCGGGGCCUGGGAGGAAAGCCAAAGUGUUUUUCAGCCAAGUGCAACCUCUCCGGGAUGCCGAGGGGAGAAUGAGAGCCGGUGGACAAGCUCCCACCCUGCCUCUCCCCAGGAACCAGGUUCAACAGCACGCGCUCUCUAGUGCCUUGGCCCCCUGUGGCCGCUGAGAAGUGGGGACCAGGAGGACCUCGGGGUGAGAAGCAGCUCUGUGUGGGAACCCCUCCUUCCUGGCCGGGAGAAGGGGCGUGCUGGGGACUGUGCUGACAGCCCAGGGCUGCUGCAUGCUCAGGCAGGCUGAGACUCAGCCACACUCUACUCAGCAGCGCCCCCUAGAGCUGGGGUGCGGGGCUACCUCUGCCUGAGCAAGGGGACCCCAGGCUCCCUGACCUGCCCCUGUGGGGAUGCCCUAUGUGCUCCCAGUAGCCUGGAAAGCACAGGCAAGCUGGUUUCUCCAUCAAACACGAUGCACCCCCUUCCCACCCUUCGCCUCCCUGACUCCCAGAAAAAUGACAGCCUGAAGGUGGAUGAGAUCUACGUGUAACCAGGGCCGAGGACAAAGCCCCAAGCACCACUGCCUCCCCGUGAGCCAUCGUGGCAGUGCGGGCUGACGGAACAUCCUCUGGAAGCCCCUUCUCCAAGCCCCCGGGGGGCAGGGUGACAGCCUCGGACAGAAUUUACAACAGAAAUCAUGAGGCUCUCAGGAACAGGGACUCAAAGAAGCUGGGGCAGAAAGAAGCACCACGGGAAAAGAGCAGCCAGAAUCAACCGGCAAACCACGGGUGCCCCCAUCUGAGUGGAAAGAUCCAAUGCCAAAAACACGCACACCCACCAUUUUCUUAAUAACGCCUUCAACUUCUAUCUGAGAAGCAGCACCGUUAAUAAGUACCCAUGGGGGGCCACUGGCCUGGGAUGGAACCUGUUCCUGCACAGACUCUGGUAUGAGCAGCCUUUACUCUGGCCACAAGCUCCUGCGUGGUUUCCUAACAAAUCCGCUCAGGAAGGAGGGCGCUGUGAGGCUACAUUUCCAUUCCAAGAAGAUCCUGCGUAGCAAUGCUCCUGCCCCUGUGUGCCUGAUCCAGCUCCUUAAGUAGGACUGUGUGGCUCCUAGCACGGAGUCACACACCCCUGGAUGCCCCUCUGUCCUGGACAAGCUGGGACAGGUGGUCCCUCCACCUUUACAUCAGUAUUUCCCACCAGAUGUUAACGGAAGAGAAAAGGUAAAGUUUCCAUGAUUCAAGUGCAUUUGGGGAAGGCUGACUUAAGCAAAAGCAGUAAGGGGCCUUUAAGAUCUGGGAGCAUUUAAGAUCAUAAUAGGCACUGACUUUCCAAGAAGGGGAAGAGUACGCAGCCUUUCCCAAACUUUUUGGAUCAUGCUUCUCUUUUAUUCAUGAAAAACUUCCUAUUCGUUUAGCAAACAUUUACUGAGAGCGUAACUGUUAAUAUCUUUUAAGGACUACUGGUGUUCUCUUUGGGCAUAGUUUGAGAUACGGCUUAUUUUACCGAGUUGUAAAAGUAAAAAACAAGAGCGCCUGGGUGCAUCAGUUGGUUAAGCGUCCAACUCUUGAUCUCAGCUCAGGUCUUGAUCUCAGGGUUGUGAGUUCAAGCCCCACGUUGGGCUCCAGCGUGGAGCCCUCCCCGCCCCACCCCCCAAAAAAGGUGAAAAACAAAA